rnacentral:rRNA from 1 species
UACGAAGGGGGCUAGCGUUGCUCGGAAUUACUGGGCGUAAAGCGUGCGCAGGCGGUUGUGCAAGACAGAUGUGAAAUCCCCGGGCUCAACCUGGGAAUUGCAUUUGUGACUGCACGGCUAGAGUGUGUCAGAGGGGGGUAGAAUUCCACGUGUAGCAGUGAAAUGCGUAGAGAUGUGGAGGAAUACCGAUGGCGAAGGCAGCCCCCUGGGAUAACACUGACGCUCAUGCACGAAAGCGUGGGGAGCAAACAGG